GGGGCAUUGCACUAAUAAUGGCGCUGACUAGGGAAAUGUUCCCGCUGUUCUAGCAGGUAGCUGGACUUAUAGACUUGCCUAGAUGGAGGGUAGGGGGAGAAUUCUAUCUUAAAUGUUUUUCUAAAUUAGGUUCUAUGUUAAGUAUUAUUAUUAUGUAUCACAUCCGACCGUGAUUGGGAGUCCCAUAGGACGCCUCCGAAACAGUUUUGUAAACCAACCCAGAUGUAAUAUAAUUCUAGCCACAUGUUGACUCAGUGGCGCUUCUCCAUGCAGGACAUGGGAGGGGGAGGGUCUCACAGGAAUAGGUUCAUCACUGGUCACUGAGCUGGCAAGCUAAUGUUAGGUAGUUAGUCAUAGAAAUGUACGUUCAGCCUGUGAAUUAUUUCAGUUUGAUUUGACUUAUAUUAAGAAGUCAGCAUGGCUUAACAGUUUCUUUCGUUUUUGACCUCGACAUUGUUGCUGGGUAGAUACUUUCAUAUCUAACAUGCUGGUGAUGCUAGCCAGCUAACCUCAUAUCUGGAUGCCUCACUCUAGUUCCCGAUAGAGCAGCAUACUGGUAACCAUGAUUGACAGAGGAAGAACAAUGAUUCCAAGCACCACCCUCCUUUUGAAGCUUCCUGUCUGUUAUUCGAACUCAAUCAGCAUGACAGAGUGAUCUCCAGCUUUGUCCUCAUCAAUACUCACACCUGUGUUUACGAGAGAAUCACUGACAUGAUGUCAGCUGGUCCUUUUGUGGCAGGGCUGAAAUGCAGUGGAAAUGUUUUGGGGGGAUUCAGUUCAUUUGCAUGGCAAAAAGGGACUUUGCAAUUAAUUGCAAUUCAUCUGAUCACUCUUUAUAACUUUCUGGAGUUUAUGCAAAUUGCCAUCAUACAAACUGAGGCAGCGGACUUGAAACCGUGAAAAUUAAUAUUUGUGUCGUUCUCUGAACCUUUGGCCACAACUGUACAGUCAAUAAUAAUAGAAAAAUCUAUAUACAGUGUGUUCAAAUGGAGUAAGGAGGCCCUCCAUUCCCAAACUUGAAGCCCCCUGUCGCCAACUGGAAAGACCAGGAAAAAGUGGUGGCUUAAGGUACAACUUCCUAUUGAGGAAAUAUCUGCCAACCUGCUCGGUGGGUGACAGGUAACAGUCUUUCCACCAAGCUGUUCCAGGCCUGGAGUGGCAUGUUGGAACUUCCUGAGGCGGUGUGAUGUGGUCCAGAUCUGACACCCCUAUUAGCUCAACCACAGUCUUCACAGCUGCAGUCGUCUGCAUCUGAUACACCGGCCACGACAGGUGACACAGAUCUGCCAUGCCCAGCAGUUCAGCUGCAGUCACAGCAGUCCACUGCUGUAGUAUUUAAUUUACCGGCAGCACCAGUUUCUACUCCACUGGCCGUGAAGGGAGAAACUUUUGAGGAUUCCCAGAUGGAUACAGAUCUGCCAUGCACUCCACCACUGCCUGACAACCUCACCCAGAAGUGCAUACACUGGGCCUUUCAAGACUGACAAAGCAGAGAUGGGUGGCUGACAAGGAAAAAUAAAACAACACACUCAACGCACACACUUUAUCCACAAUGUAAAUAAGUUGUAAUUGCCUGUUUAUUUAAUGUUUGCUCCAUUUUAUUUUAGGAUUGGAGAUAUCUACUCCUAUAUAUCCAUUAUCAAUGUCUGCAUAAUUACUCUAAAUAUCUAUCAAAUCAAAGUGGGAUUGAUAAUAUUAUAAAAGACUGUGUACAGUUUUAGGAAAUUCUGUGUACAUUUUUGUUGAAAAACAUGCCUCCCUCUCACACAGACACACACUACACCCAUGUAAAUAAAUUGCAAUAACUUGUUUAACGUAUGUAUGCUCCACUUUAUUUUAGGAAAAUAUCUGUAAUAAAGUACAUUCACA